UACGUAGGGAGCAAGCGUUGUCCGGAAUCAUUGGGCGUAAAGCGCGCGUAGGUGGCCACAUAAGUCCGUUGUGAAAGUCAAAGGCUCAACCUUUGAAAGCCGAUGGAUACUGUGUGGCUAGAGUACGGAAGAGGCGAGUGGAAUUCCUGGCGUAGCGGUGGAAUGCGCAGAUAUCAGGAGGAACACCAAUAGCGAAGGCAGCUCGCUGGGACGUUACUGACACUGAGGCGCGAAAGCGUGGGGAGCGAACAGG
rnacentral:rRNA from 1 species